rnacentral:lncRNA from 1 species
UUUAGGAAAAGCACCUUUAAAGCCUGACUGUGGCAUCUCAUGAGAGAAAGCUAAAUCCACGGUUACGGUGCACUUGCUGAUGCACCUUUGCAGCAUGCAGUGGCUAUUGAGAGGGAAAUUGCUCUGCUGCUCACAGGGCAACUGGGAAGCUUAUGGACUCAUGGAACCCUGCAUCUCUGGAGCCUGUAGGUUUCUGAGGAAUGCAAGUUUUCCCAUGAUUGAUCUGACUAUGGGAACACACCAAAAUAACACAGAUGGCGCCUUAAUUUAUAAACAAGUUGGAAAAGCAGAGGGAACAGAAAGGCAGCACCUCCAGGGCAAGCUGCAGCAGCCUUUCAAGGAAGGAAGGAGAAGGCAGGGCAGCACUGUGCUCACCACAGACUGAAGAGCUGAGUCUCAGAAAGGUCAGGAGACAGUGCUAUGGCAGGAAGCAGAUCAGAGCUGCUGAGAGGCACACUGAGGUGUUCAGCCUUCAGUAUGCAUGGGGAAGGACACUUUCGGGGAUGGCACAAAUAUUUGCCGCUAAGAAGCUAAAGAAAAGCAGUGGAUUAAAGAGCACGGACAGAGCAAAAAACUUUGCUCUUCAUGUCAUUCAAAUUUGUUUACCACCUUUUGCUCUUGGAGGCUUUACUGGCAUUAACAAAAAUCGAAUUGGG